rnacentral:rRNA from 1 species
GAUGAACGCUGGCGGCGUGCCUAAUACAUGCAAGUCGAGCGAACGGACGAGAAGCUUGCUUCUCUGAUGUUAGCGGCGGACGGGUGAGUAACACGUGGAUAACCUACCUAUAAGACUGGGAUAACUUCGGGAAACCGGAGCUAAUACCGGAUAAUAUUUUGAACCGCAUGGUUCAAAAGUGAAAGACGGUCUUGCUGUCACUUAUAGAUGGAUCCGCCCUGCAUUAGCUAGUUGGUAAGGUAACGGCUUACCAAGGGAACGAUGCAUAGCCGACCUCUGAGCGCGCUCGUCAAGACAGUAGCGAUGAGUAGAACUAGACCCCUAAGGGAGGCAUCAGUGGUGAAUGUUCAGGAAUGGGCGAGAGCCUGACGAAGAAACGCCGCGUGAGUGAUGAUAUUCAGCGGUUCGUAAAUCCCUGUCAUUAGGGAAAUGCAUAUGGUUAGGUUAUCGUGCUCGUCUUGACGGUACUGGAUCAGAAAGCAACGGCGAACUACGA